GUUGCUUCUCAACCUUUUGGCUAAAAUCAAGUGUAGUAUCUGUUCUUAUCAGUUUAAUAUCAGUAGAAUCAAGAAUGCAAUAUCAGCUCAAUUCAGAGUGGAGAGGCAUAGCUAACACUU
ensembl:snRNA U2 U2 spliceosomal RNA